UCGAGCGAGCGGAACUAACAGAUUUACUUCGGUAAUGACGUUAGGAAAGCGAGCGGCGGAUGGGUGAGUAACACGUGGGGAACCUGCCCCAUAGUCUGGGAUACCACUUGGAAACAGGUGCUAAUACCGGAUAAGAAAGCAGAUCGCAUGAUCAGCUUUUAAAAGGCGGCGUAAGCUGUCGCUAUGGGAUGGCCCCGCGGUGCAUUAGCUAGUUGGUAAGGUAAAGGCUUACCAAGGCGAUGAUGCAUAGCCGAGUUGAGAGACUGAUCGGCCACAUUGGGACUGAGACACGGCCCAAACUCCUACGGGAGGCAGCAGUAGGGAAUCUUCCACAAUGGACGCAAGUCUGAUGGAGCAACGCCGCGUGAGUGAAGAAGGUUUUCGGAUCGUAAAGCUCUGUUGUUGGUGAAGAAGGAUAGAGGUAGUAACUGGCCUUUAUUUGACGGUAAUCAACCAGAAAGUCACGGCUAACUACGUGCCAGCAGCCGCGGUAAUACGUAGGUGGCAAGCGUUGUCCGGAUUUAUUGGGCGUAAAGCGAGCGCAGGCGGAAGAAUAAGUCUGAUGUGAAAGCCCUCGGCUUAACCGAGGAACUGCAUCGGAAACUGUUUUUCUUGAGUGCAGAAGAGGAGAGUGGAACUCCAUGUGUAGCGGUGGAAUGCGUAGAUAUAUGGAAGAACACCAGUGGCGAAGGCGGCUCUCUGGUCUGCAACUGACGCUGAGGCUCGAAAGCAUGGGUAGUGAACAGGAUUAGAUACCCUGGUAGUCCAUGCCGUAAACGAUGAGUGCUAAGUGUUGGGAGGUUUCCGCCUCUCAGUGCUGCAGCUAACGCAUUAA
rnacentral:rRNA from 1 species